rnacentral:rRNA from 1 species
UACGGAGGGUGCAAGCGUUAUCCGGAUUCACUGGGUUUAAAGGGUGCGUAGGUGGGCUAGUAAGUCCGUGGUGAAAUCCCCCGAGCUUAACUCGGGAACUGCCGUGGAUACUAUUAGUCUUGAAUAUCGUGGAGGUAAGCGGAAUAUGUCAUGUAGCGGUGAAAUGCUUAGAUAUGACAUAGAACACCGAUAGCGGAGGCAGCUUACUACGCGAUUAUUGACACUGAGGCACGAAAGCGUGGGGAUCAAACAGG